GUUUCAUGGUGGUUGCAGAGUUCAGGAGUAGCAGAGAGAAAAUGCAUUACCUGGAUCCAGUCCCGACUAGAAAACAUAUGUUUUGGCCUCGGCGUUGCAGAUUGCCAAUGAGCCAAACAUAAAAAAUGUCACUGGCCUCAGGAUUGAAUUACUUGCGUGAUCUGUGCGCAAGCAUGUUGGACCAUAUUAGAUGGUUGUGUAUAUGUAUAUCUGUGUGUGUGGAUGGAUGGAUGGAUGGAUGGAUAGAGAUAGAUAGAUAGAUGAUAGAUAGAUAGAUGAUAGAUGAGAGAGAGAGAGAGAGAGAGAGAGAGAGAGAGAGAGAUGUAGAAAAAGCCCAGUUUAUUUAGGCUGAUCACCCUUGCUAAAAAGGAGAGGGGAAACCAGUUUUGGUUCGACUGUUGUAAUAAUAUGUAUGCUGCUCGGAAGUUAAAUCAGCGAUAGGAGGAGGAAGAGUCUGAAGGAAGAAGAGGAAGUGAGGAAAUAGAGAUUGGGAGAUGGAUAGAGAGGCAAGGAGAGAAGUGUAAGCCCUUUAACUAUUUCAAGUACUUAUAAAAAAGUACACUGUUGAGAGCUGCUCCUUUGAUUACACAGACAAUGUCAAAUGAAACAGCUGAAGCCUACAACACACUUAAAACCCAGAACAUUUGGUGCAAGUUUAUGCUGUCCUAUUUGUUUCCAAUGAUUUUUAAAAAUGUAAAUUCUAAAACUGUACAUGUGACAAAUAGGUGUUUAAGAGCACAUGCCUAAUAAGGGUUUAGCCAAGAUUGGCUAUGGCUCCCUGCUGAAGGUACACAUGGAGUUGCUGUUUAAUGUGGGAAUGGCCCUAAAAGUCUGUCGUCGUCGUAUCUGAUUUGCUGAACGGCCUAUCUGACUUUGCUCCUAUCCUGCACCAGACAGCAUGGUGGGGUGCCACCACUGAUCCAGUCAGGCACAUCACCGCUGGGAGUUAGAAGGGAAGGUUGGGAGGCAGCAUUGAGGAUAGUGCAUUCCAAACAUGCCAGCAGAGCCAAUCCAGUGCUCCUACUAAUGUGUUUGUUCACUUCAUUCUCACUCACCCUUCACCCAAGGGCCCCAGGGUGGGUUGCAACAUUACAGCCUUGCCGCUCCCACUCUGCCUCCUAGUCACAGGUUAGGUGAAAGCACUGCGUCUGCUUCUGUAUGUAUAUGAAGCAUCCUUAUACCAGCUCUGAUUUCUGGCUCAUCUCACCCAAUAUUUCUUACUCUGACUGGUAGAGGCUGCAAGGCCUUGGGCAGGAAUCCUCACAUUGUGGGGAUCCCUCUCUCUCCUCCCUGCCCCAGUGUGAGGGCAACAGUUAUGAUGUAAAGGAACAGACAACGAUUUGGGAUAGAAAUUGGUCACAACUUUAUUGAUUGCAAGUAUAGAUGGACUUUGGCUCAGGCAGUGGGUGCAUAUCCAUUUCAGCCUCCUGCUAGAGGGCUUAAAUUUUGAACAGAGUCACUUCCGAGGGGCGGCGCGAACGGCAAUGGCGGUCCUCUUCUGAACGGGAGAGGAGGCUCCGCAGAAAACGGGUCGUCCGCUACGGCGAAGCGGAGACCCACUCCGGAAAACCCCAGGCAGCAAGAGCUUGGGGUCUUGAGGCUCGGUGGGCGCCUUAAGUGACCCUCCAAACGCAGAAGGAACCUCGUAAGGGGCUCCGGAGCGUGGAGGGUUGCGGCGCUGAGGCUGCUUCACAGUCUGCGGAGUGAAGCCGCGCUGCUGCUGCCGGUGAGCGCUGAUCCUUUUUCCUGCUAAAACACGGAUUCGGACGAAAAGCAACUUACUCGUGAGUAAAGACUGAAUCACUUGAAAUCAGAGACUUUAAAUGAAAAACCUGAACUGGGCUUGAACUUGGCUGAAAGCGGAGAGCCGUGGAAACAGGAAGUCCGUCUUCCGCAGCCAUUGAACUUGAAAAAAGCAACUAAGUUGGAGGAGUGGAGGCUGAAAGGAAGAGAUUUUAAACUUUACAGAUCUAAGCAUCUACUGAACCUGCAAUUUAAAGUAAAGACUUUAAGCUAAAGACUUGGAAUUUUAACUUGCACUUGACUUUCCCCCUUUUAUUGGAUUACAAAUUAGAAGGUGAAACCCAGAGUCAGGAGCUGCCUGAGCAUUGAGAAAUUGAGCUGUCAGUAUUGCAGAUUUGGAUACUGUAUAUUGGAACUUGCAACAAUCUGAGGGUAUUGAGACUUUUUAAAUUUGAAACAUUCUUUUUGGAGAUAAAUAAGCACUGUCUGUAACAAAGUGACUACUUAUAAACUCUGCUAAAUAUUUAUAUUUGAAGGUUCUUGGACAUUAAAUUAGACUCUGAAAGACAUUUUAAGCUCCCUCUAGAGGAUUGGAUGAAAACAGUGACUUUACAUUUACAUUUACUUUCGAUUCCCUUGUUGUUUGCUUGCUCUGGGCCUUUCUAUUCCCAUGGGAAAAACUCAGUGUGACCUUGACUGAUAGACAACGUUGGAAUGAGUGGCACAAGGAAAAGAGGGAGAGUUAGACAAACAACUUUAACAACUCUAACCUCAGCCUCGCAGACACGUAGAUCAUCUGUACCUACUUUGCCCUCAGAAGUAGAACUUGAAGAAGUUGCCUUGCCACAGGCAAAAGAGGGAGAGGGUGAAGCAGAGCAGUUACAAUUGGAAGAUAUGGCCUCAGGAGUAUCUGUUUCUGUUCUAGACAAAAUCUUUGAAAAAUUGGAAGCUUUGGACAAGAAAGUAGAUGCGCAAUCAGCAAAGAUUGACAAAAAUACAGAAUGUCUAAAUAAAUUAACCAUACAAGUUGUACAGAAUACACAAGCAAUUGGACAGUUAACGGAGGCCUCAGCAGAAAAUCGGAAAUUGGCUGAGGAUACUAGACAAAAAUUGGAAAAUUUAGAGCAAGAGGUAAGACCACUCACCAAACAAGUUGGGGAACAUCAGACUUAUCUUUCCAUGAUAGAACUGCGAAAUCGUGAGAAUAAUUUGAGGAUUAGAUCAUUACAAGAGGCAGAAGAAGGAAAUUUAACUGAGUUUUUGACCAAAGAAUUUUCCAAGUUCUGGAAUUUGGAAGAAAAGGAUUUUAAAAUUGUGUCGGCUUUCAGACUUGGAAGAUUCACAAAGAAGGAGAGGCCCAGAGACUGUUUGAUUACAUUGAGAUCAAAGGAGGAAAGGGAUAAGAUUUUGGGCCUACAUUACGGAAAGUCACUGGAGGUUUUGGACAGAAGAAUUGAAAUUUAUAAAGAUAUUCCAAGACAACUGCUGGAUCUUAGAGCCGCCUAUUCUGAACUUGCUAAACUACUAAGGAGCAACGCAAUUCCAUUCAGGUGGGAAUUUCCCCAAGGAAUAUCUUUUACCUUUAAAGGGAGAAAGGUCAAAGUUAGAACAUUGGAAGAGAGAGACAAAUUUUUGGCUACAUACGGAGAGGACCUUCAAAAAGGAAUUGAAUUACCUUCUGGGCCUGGGGCAAAGCCAGCAUUAACACCAGCACCUGGGGAACCUGAAGAUCCAGAGAAGACACCACCCCUGGAGAAAUAACCAGAUAGAUCCAGGAUGUCUCUGCAAUUGCUGAGUUGGAACAUUAAUGGUUGUAACAUUCCGGAAAAAAGGAAGAAAAUAUUUCAUAUAUUAAAAAAGAACAAUUGGACAUUAUCUGUUUACAAGAAACACAUGUGACGAGGCUCCACAGAAAAGUGUUAAUAAAUAAAAGAUUGGGCCAGGAAUUUGUUUCGUCGGACAAAGUUAAGAAGAGAGGCGUGGUGAUAUAUGCAAAAGAGAGCCUGUCACCUAAAUUCUUAUUUAAAGAUGAACAUGGAAGAAUUUUGGCCAUUGAGAUACAAUAUCAAGGAGAGAAACUGUUGAUAUUAGGAAUCUAUGCACCUAACGAAGGGAAAUCGGAAUUUUACAAGAAGCUGCAGGGGACAAUGCUGGAAUAUCUGGAUUACAACAACAUCAUAAUGAUGGGAGACAUGAACGGGGUCGUGUCAGCUAACAUGGACAAGUCACAAAGUCAAAAUGUUACAAAAGACGGCAGACUACCUAAAACUUUUUGAAAUGACUGACAAUAUGGAUUUGAUUGACAUUUGGAGGACAAAGAACCCACUAGGUAGAGAAGGAACAUUCUUUUCUGAAGCCCAACUGACCUGGACAAGAAUCGACCAAAUAUGGAUUUCCAGAGGCCUGGCACCUAAGGUCAGAAAAGUGGAAAUCUGCCCAAAGACCUGCUCUGACCAUAAUGCAGUAAAGAUGGAUAUGACACUACUACCAACUGGAUCCUUUAGAUGGAAGAUGAAUGACAAUUUGUUUAGAGAUCAGGAAAUUACCAAGAAGGCCCAAAAAGUUUUGAAGGACUAUUUUGAGAUAAACAUGAACAAUUCGGUGGAAAAAGAAUUGUCUGGGGCGCAAGCAAAGCUGUAAUGAGGGAUUCUUGAUACAACAGAAUGUAGU